rnacentral:rRNA from 1 species
AUUGAACGCUGGCGGCAGGCCUAACACAUGCAAGUCGAGCGAGUGGCGGACGGGUGAGUAAUGUAUGGGGAUCUGCCCGAUAGAGGGGGAUAACUACUGGAAACGGUGGCUAAUACCGCAUACUAUAGGAUGAGCCCAUAUGGGAUUAGCUAGUGGGUGGGGUAAAGGCUCACCUAGGCGACGAUCACUAGCUGGUCUGAGAGGUGGAACAGCCACACUGGGACUGAGACACGGCCCAGACUCCUACGGGAGGCAGCAGUGGGGAAUAUUGCACAAUGGGCGCAAGCCUGAUGCAGCCAUGCCGCGUGUAUGAAGAAGGCCUUAGGGUUGUAAAGUACUUUCAGCGGGGAGGCGUUACCCGCAGAAGAAGCACCGGCUAACUCCGUGCCAGCAGCCGCGGUAAUUC